rnacentral:rRNA from 1 species
UACGUAGGGGGCGAGCGUUGUCCGGAUUUAUUGGGCGUAAAGAGCUCGUAGGCGGUCUGUCGCGUCGGCUGUGAAAACCCGGAGCUCAACUCCGGGCCUGCAGUCGAUACGGGCAAACUGGAGUGUUGCAGGGGAGACUGGAAUUCCUGGUGUAGCGGUGAAAUGCGCAGAUAUCAGGAGGAACACCGGUGGCGAAGGCGGGUCUCUGGGCAACAACUGACGCUGAGGAGCGAAAGCGUGGGGAGCGAACAGG